CGCGUUCGGUCUCCACGGUUACGCGUCCGCUGCUAGGGCUCUGGGGCUGGCCGGGAGAGCCGCCGCUGGCUGGUGUUCCGGCAGGGGCCAGAGCCCCGGGAACCCCUUACCCUUAAACGACGGGUGUACCAGGAGAGAAGACGGACGUCCGACUGCUACGAAGCUGGUGCUGGUGCCACAAUGCCUCCCACUCAAGCAGAAAGUGUUAUAAAGAAUAUUAUACGAGAAAUAGGACAAGAAUGUGCAACCCAUGGAGAGAUUGCUUCAGAAACAGUGGUUGCUUUUAUGGUGAAAGCUGUUGUCCUGGAUCCAAGCAAUGGCUUUAACAUGGAUAGGACCCUCAUCAAAAGUGAUGUGCAGAAACUUGUUAAGCUUUGUGUGGCUCGACUAUUGGACAGUAAAAAUCCAUCCCUGGACACCAUUAAGAUGCAGGUCUACUUUGAUAUGAAUUACACAAGUCGAGAGGACUUUCUUGAAGAACAUCACCGCGUCUUAGAGUCCAGAUUAGGCGCCAUUAGCAGAGAAAUUACAGACAACAGAGCAUGUGCUAGAGAAGAACUGGAAAGUCUCUACAGAAAGAUUGUCAGCUAUGUGCUACUGCGAUCUGGGCUUGGGUCCCCCACAGACAUCAAGAUUGUCAGAGAGGCAACAGCUGCUCUGCAGAGUGUUUUUCCUCAGGCCGAGCUGGGGACGUUUCUGACUCUUAGUAAAAAGGACAAGGAACGGCAGCUGAAAGAGCUCACCAUGAUUGUUACCGGCAUCCGGUUGUUUAACAGAGACUGUGGGAAAGGAGGAGAAGGCAUUGAUGACUUGCCAGCUAUUCUCCACGAAGCAAUCCCAACCACCACACAGCAUAUCGACUCCCAGCUUCAGAUUGCCCAAGACCAGGCAUUUCGCUACACAGCCAUCCUUGAGAAAGUGUCGAAGAAUCCACUCAUGACCAAAGAGCUUGAGCCGUACAUGCUGAAGGAAGCAUUGUAUAAUAUUCGGCAGUAUGAGAUCUUCCUUCAGACCGUUUUGUCAGAUAUAAUUACUUGUGCUCAAGAAGUGGAAAUGAUGAUAAAACAAUUUGCAGCUCAACUGGAACAAUUGAAAAUGAUAGUAAAAUCAAAGACAGCUGUCCCAACAUCACAAGUCUUUCCUAUAUUUAUUGCUCUGGCAAGUCUGUGGAUGAGCUUCCAGGAUGAGACAGUGUUGAUUAGUGUCCUCAGCAAUUUGACCACUAACCUGGAGCUGUUCCUGGGCACGCAUGAGCUUCUCUUUCCUGAGAAAGUGAUUCACGGUCUUCUUGAUGAUGUCACUGUGAAAAGUGACAUAGCUAGGAUAAAGGAGCACAUGGAUGAAAGAGUACACUUGCCAGAUUUCAGAAAAAUGGAUUGGUUUUUCCCAGAAACAACAGCAAAUUUUGAUAAACUGCUAAUUCAGUACCGUGGAUUUUGUGGCUACACAUUUGCUUCAACAGACGGUCUUCUUCUCCCAGGAAAUCCAUCCAUUGGAAUUUUGAAACAUAAAGAAAAAUAUUACACUUUCAAUACCAGAGAUGCUGCAUAUUCAUUCGCAGAAAAUCCUGAACGUUAUAUUAACUUGAUUAAAGAAAAAGCCAAAAAGAAUGCAGAGCUAAUUCAGCUACUAGAACUUCAUCAACAGUUUGAAACUCUCAUACCAUAUUCUCAGUCUUCCUCAGCUCAGGCCUUCCAGAUGCAAAGUAGUCUCCGAUUACUGCUGGAACCAUGAGGACCCCAUCUGCAUCCUGAGCCAUGGACUUUUCACCUCCUUUGUAUUUAAGGUCAGGUGUUGUCUAUGACCUAUGAGCACCCCCUACCGCCCCACCCCCUACUGCCCUGCCCCCUGCACACCUUUUGUUCAUUUCUUCCCAGGAGUUCAGUGAUGGCAAUAUAUGAAUUUUCUAGUCCAUCAUCUAUUUUGGGUGUUUCUUCAUACUGACAUGGAGUGGAGUUGUUCAUCAAGGAAGCAUGCUGACCCAUGCCAUGUAGAGAAAGAUGGCCACCCCAGAAUCCUCCCUAAGCAUGCUCUACUCUGAGACAGCUCAGCUUUGGUUGCAGGUUAUUAUAUCUGUUGGAGAGUGCAUGCAUUGGCCACUACAGCAAGGACGCACACUAUCUCAUACCAUUUGGGGAACUGUAGUCAUACUGGGAUUGUCUCUGGAUUUCCUCCCUCAGAGGAAUCAGCUUCAGUUGCAUAUCUCAUCACCCUUCACAGGGUCCAAUUCACUUUCUCUUGUGUGAGACUGUAUUCAGACAUUGAUUGUGUUGUAUGAGUUUUCUGUGGGAGAUGAGAAUGAAUGUCUUUAUCCUAUAGAGGGCACUAACAGACUAAGGAAAAUAGAUCCCAUCCAUGCCUGUCUCGUUGAACCAGUGCGUUUAUUGGGGUUACCUACAGGAGCAUGAGUGACUGAAAAAGCAGUUGCAUUGCUGAAAAGCCCAUUUCUGCAUGGAUGAUAACUGGGGUAAGCUAUGUGCCUGGAACUUAGGUUCACUGGAUUGUCUCAUCCCCCCAGCAAAAAAAGCCCCUUUCUGCGUGGUUGAUGACCCAGAAAAGCUGCAUGCCCAGAACUUACUCCACUGUACAGUCUCCUCUUCCUAGCAAUUAAGUACUGCUUUGAUCAUAUCUGGGUUGGGGGGUGGUCCUGUAAAUCUUCUAACUGUGUGGGCUUCCCAAGCUGUGGUGGCUACUCUUGGUUGUCAACUUGACUAUAUCUGGAAUGAACUACAGUACCGAAACGGAGGACACACCUGUGGUUAGGAUCUUGAGGCAAAACAAGAUGCCUUGGAUCCAGAUCUUGAGGCUGGAAGACACACAUCUUUAAUCCAGACCUGGAGAUGAGAAAGCACACCUUUAACCUGGACCAGACCUUCUGCUGGAAGCCUCUAUGAGGACAAGGGAAGAAAGAAGGGUUUGUUCUUUGCCUGCUUGCUGUCACCUUGUCAGCACAUCCAUUCCUUCACUGUCAUUGGAGCCUACUUCAGGAGUCCAGCAUUUACAGAAGACCAGGUGGGACACUCAGCCUUGUGGGAAUGAGCAACUACUAGAUUCUUGGACUUUCUGUUCACAACUAGCCAUUGUUGGACUGCAGCCUAUGAGAGAUGUUGACAAGCAUUAUAUAAAACCAAUUACAAAGUGUGAAAACAGCACACAGACAGAUACGCACAUACUGCCGCCAACUACUGUG